rnacentral:rRNA from 1 species
AGAGUUUGAUCAUGGCUCAGGAUGAACGCUGGCGGCGUGCCUAACACAUGCAAGUCGAGCGAUUUACUUCGGUAAAGAGCGGCGGACGGGUGAGUAACGCGUGGGUAACCUGCCCUAUACACACGGAUAACAUACCGAAAGGUAUGCUAAUACGAGAUAAUAUAAGAGAUUCACAUGGAUUUCUUAUCAAAGCUGAGGCGGUAUAGGAUGGACCCGCGUCUGAUUAGCUAGUUGGUAAGGUAACGGCUUACCAAGGCGACGAUCAGUAGCCGACCUGAGAGGGUGAUCGGCCACAUUGGAACUGAGACACGGUCCAAACUCCUACGGGAGGCAGCAGUGGGCAAUAUUGCACAAUGGGCGAAAGCCUGAUGCAGCAACGCCGCGUGAGUGAUGAAGGCCUUCGGGUCGUAAAACUCUGUCCUCAAGGAAGAUAAUGACGGUACUUGAGGAGGAAGCCCCGGCUAACUACGUGCCAGCAGCCGCGGUAAUACGUAGGGGGCUAGCGUUAUCCGGAUUUACUGGGCGUAAAGGGUGCGUAGGUGGUCUCUUAAGUCAGGAGUGAAAGGCUACGGCUUAACCGUAGUAAGCUCUUGAAACUGGGAGACUUGAGUGCAGGAGAGGAAAGUGGAAUUCCUAGUGUAGCGGUGAAAUGCGUAGAUAUUAGGAGGAACACCAGUAGCGAAGGCGGCUUUCUGGACUGUAACUGACACUGAGGCACGAAAGCGUGGGGAGCAAACAGGAUUAGAUACCCUGGUAGUCCACGCCGUAAACGAUGAGUACUAGGUGUCGGGGGUUACCCCCUCGGUGCCGCAGCUAACGCAUUAAGUACUCCGCCUGGGGAGUACGCUCGCAAGAGUGAAACUCAAAGGAAUUGACGG